rnacentral:rRNA from 1 species
AGAGUUUGAUCCUGGCUCAGAUUGAACGCUGGCGGCAGCCUAACACAUGCAAGUCGAGCGGCAGCGGAAGAUAGCUUGCUAUCUUUGCCGGCGAGCGGGACGGGUGAAGUAAUGCCUUAAGGGAUCUGCCCAGUCGAGGGGGAUAACAGUUGGAAACGACUGCUAAUACCGCAUACGCCCUACGGGGGAAAGGAGGGGACCUUCGGGCCUUCCGCGAUUGGAUGAACCUAGGUGGGAUUAGCUAGUUGGUGAGGUAAUGGCUCACCAAGGCGACGAUCCCUAGCUGUUCUGAGAGGAUGAUCAGCCACACUGGGACUGAGACACGGCCCAGACUCCUACGGGAGGCAGCAGUGGGGAAUAUUGCACAAUGGGGGAAACCCUGAUGCAGCCAUGCCGCGUGUGUGAAGAAGGCCUUCGGGUUGUAAAGCACUUUCAGUAGGGAGGAAAGGUAGCAGCUUAAUACGCUGUUGCUGUGACGUUACCUACAGAAGAAGGACCGGCUAACUCCGUGCCAGCAGCCGCGGUAAUACG